UACGUAGGGGGGCGAGCGUUGUCCGGAUUUAUUGGGCGUAAAAGAGCUCGUAGGCGGCUGUUCGAGUCGGGGUGUGAAAAUCCUGAGGCUUUAACCUUGGGGUCUGCAUUCGAUACUGGGGCGGCUUGAGUCUGGUAGGGGGGGAUCUGGAAUUCCUGGUGUAGCGGUGGAAUGCGUAGAUAUCGGGAGGAACACCGGUGGCGAAGGCGGCCUUCUGGACGGAUACUGACGCUGAGACGCGAAAGCGUGGGGGAGCAAACAGG
rnacentral:rRNA from 1 species